rnacentral:rRNA from 1 species
AUUGAACGCUGGCGGCAGGCCUAACACAUGCAAGUCGAGCGGAUGACAGGAGCUUGCUCCUUGAUUCAGCGGCGGACGGGUGAGUAAUGCCUAGGAAUCUGCCUGGUAGUGGGGGACAACGUUUCGAAAGGAACGCUAAUAACGCAUACGUCCUACGGGAGAAAGCAGUGGACCUUCGGGCCUUGCGCUAUCAGAUGAGCCUAGGUCGGAUUAGCUAGUUGGUGGGGUAAUGGCUCACCAAGGCGACGAUCCGUAACUGGUCUGAGAGGAUGAUCAGUCACACUGGAACUGAGACACGGUACAGACUCCUACGGGAGGCAGCAGUGGGGAAUAUUGGACAAUGGGCGAAAGCCUUAUCCAGCCAUGCCGCGUGUGUGAAGAAGGUCUUCGGAUUGUAAAGCACUUUAAGUUGGGAGGAAGGGCAGUAAGUUAAUACCUUGCUGUUUUGACGUUACCGACAGAAUAAGCACCGGCUAACUCUGUGCCAGCAGCCGCAGUAACAC